rnacentral:tRNA from 1 species
AAAAUCCGUUGUCUUUAUUGACCGUGAGGGUUCAAGUCCCUCUACCCCCA